UAGUUUGAUCCUGGCUCAGGACGAAGAGACGGCAUGCUUAACACAUGCAAGUCGAACGUGAUUUUUGUGGUUAAUUCUUUCGGGAAUGGAAAUGAAAUGAAAGUGGCGAACGGGUGAGUAACACGUGAGCAACCUACCUUACACAGGGGGAUAGCCGUUGGAAACGACGAUUAAUACCGCAUGAGACCACAGAAUCGCAUGAUAUAGGGGUCAAAGAUUUAUCGGUGUAAGAAGGGCUCGCGUCUGAUUAGCUAGUUGGAAGGGUAAAGGCCUACCAAGGCGACGAUCAGUAGCCGGUCUGAGAGGAUGAACGGCCACAUUGGAACUGAGACACGGUCCAAACUCCUACGGGAGGCAGCAGUGGGGAAUAUUGCACAAUGGGGGGAACCCUGAUGCAGCGACGCCGCGUGAGCGAAGAAGGUUUUCGAAUCGUAAAGCUCUGUCCUAUGAGAAGAUAAUGACGGUAUCAUAGGAGGAAGCCCCGGCUAAAUACGUGCCAGCAGCCGCGGUAAUACGUAUGGGGCGAGCGUUGUCCGGAAUUAUUGGGCGUAAAGGGUACGUAGGCGGUUUUUUAAGUCAGGUGUGAAAGCGUGAGGCUUAUCCUCAUUAAGCACUUGAGACUGGAAGACUUUGAGUGAAGGAGAGGAUAGUGCAAUUCCUAGUGUAGCGGUGAAAUGCGUAAUAUUAGGAGGAAUACCGGUGGCGAAGGCGACUUUCUGGACUUUUUACUGACGCUCAGGACAAAGCGUGUGGAGCAAACA
rnacentral:rRNA from 1 species